rnacentral:rRNA from 2 species
CCCUAGUAGCGGCGAGCGAAGCGGGAAGAGCUCAAAUUUAUAAUCUGGCACCUUCGGUGUCCGAGUUGUAAUCUCUAGAAGUGUUUUCCGCGUUGGACCGCACACAAGUCUGUUGGAAUACAGCGGCAUAGUGGUGAAACCCCCGUAUAUGGUGCGGACGCCCAGCGCUUUGUGAUACACUUUCAAUGAGUCGAGUUGUUUGGGAAUGCAGCUCAAAUUGGGUGGUAAAUUCCAUCUAAAGCUAAAUAUUGGCGAGAGACCGAUAGCGAACAAGUACCGUGAGGGAAAGAUGAAAAGCACUUUGGAAAGAGAGUUAACAGUACGUGAAAUUGUUGGAAGGGAAACGCUUGAAGUCAGACUUGCUUGCCGGAGCUUGCUUCGGUUUGCAGGCCAGCAUCAGUUUUCCGGGGUGGAUAAUGACGGUUUGAAGGUAGCAGUCUCGGCUGUGUUAUAGCUUUCCGUUGGAUACAUCCUGGGGGACUGAGGAACGCAGCGUGCUUUUUGCGAAAGACUCGUCUUUUUCACGCUUAGGAUGCUG